UAGUAAUCUGUGAGACACAGGGGACUCAGCAAUCUCAUUUCCAAAGGUAUCAAGACUAGCAAAACUUAAUGGGUGAGGUAUGGUUAAGUGGUGAGGUUGCAGCAGAGGUUAAGCAUAUAUAGGGUGGCUAAACUUACGAGUACAAGAAAUAAGAGGGGGAACAUCUACGCAUAGCGGACGUGAAAUAAUGUCGAUCAAAUAAAUGAUCCUGAACACCUACCUACGUCAGACAUNNNNNNNNNNGUUGCAGCAGCGGCUAAGCAUAUAUAUGGUGGCUAAACUUACGAGUACAAGAAAUAAGAGGGGGAAGAUCUACGCAUAGCGGACGUGAACUAAUGUCGAUCAAAUAAAUGAUCCUGAACACCUACCUACGUCAGACAUAACCCCACCGUGUCCUUGAUCGGAGCAGGAGCUCACGAAAGAGACAGUCACGGUUACGCACACAGUUGGCAUAUUUUAAUUAAGUUAACUUCAAGU
rnacentral:lncRNA from 1 species